rnacentral:lncRNA from 1 species
CCCCGCUCCCCAGCCGCAGCUCCGCCGUUCCGUCCCCGAAGCGGCGCUCCCCGCACUCGGACGAUGCCGGCCCCUCUUCCCUCCCAUCCGCCGCUCCGGGGUCCCGCAGAGCGCGUGGCCGUGCGGGACCAGCAGCAGGGAGGGCUGGGAGGGCUGGGAGGGCUGUGAACGAAGCCGGGGCUGCGGGGGGGGGGGUGUGCAGGUGUGCAGCUCGCAGCAUCGGGGUGGUGCUGCGUGUGGAGCAGAGUGAGGAGCAGUGUGUGGAGCAAUGCCCGGAGCAAUACAGAGAGCAGUGAGAGGAGCAGUGAGCGGAGCAGUGCGUGGGGCAAUGAAUUGAGCAAUGCACAGAGCAGUGCAUGGAGCAAUGGUCAAAGCAGUGCCCAGAGCAAUGCCCAGAAAUGCCCAGAGCAAUGCUCAAAGCAAUGCCUGGAGCAAUGCAUGGAACCAUGCCCAAAGUGAUGCCCAAAGCAAUGCCCAGAGCAAUGCAUGGAGCAAUGCAUGGAGCAAAUCCCGGAGCAAUGCACAGAGCAAUGCACAGGGCAAUGAGUGGAGAAACGCAUGGAGCAAUGCAUGGAGCAAUGCACGGUGCAGUGCCCAAAGCAAUGCACAGAGCAAUGCUCGAAACAGUGCCCAAAGCAGUGCACACCAUUGCCAGAUUGUGCAGUGCUGUGUAGUGCAGUGCUCUGCAGUGCAGUGCUGUGCUGUGUUGUGCAGUGCAGGGCUUUGCUGUGCUGUGCAGUGCAAAGCUUUGCUGUGCAGUGCUGUGCAGUGCUAUGCAGUGCAGGGAUUUGCUGUGCAGUGCUGUGCAGUGCUAUGCAGUGCAGGGAUUUGCUGUGCAGUGCUGUGUUGUGCAGUGCAGGGCUUUGUUGUGCUGUGCAGUGCAGUGCAGUGCUGUGUUGUGCAGUGCAGUGCAGGGAUUUGCUGUGCAGUGCUGUGUUGUGCAGUGCAGGGCUUCGCUGUGCUGUGCAGUGCAGUGCUGUGUUGUGCAGUGCAGGGCUUUGCUGUGCUGUGCAGUGCAGUGCAGGGCUGUGUUGCACAGAGCAGUGCAGGGCUUUGCUGUGCUGAGGAGCGCCUGGAGCGCAGCCAGGAGCCGCCCUGCCCUGAGCUCACCUUACUCACAGUUUCCGUGGGGCUGACGCCGUGCAAUGGAAGGGAGCAGCAUCCCUCUCCCCUCCCUCCCCC